UGAAAUCACAGGGGGUCUAAGCGAGCAUUUCUUGCUCUCUUCUGUUCCUUUGGUGGGAUUACAGAACAGGUAUUAGAGGAAUAUGAUUCGCAAGAGGCUUUCUUGGCUUUCUGCCUUCCACCAUUAGAUGAUGCAGCAAGAAGACCAUCACCAGGUGGGUUCUUUCUUAUUGCAUGAAUCUUUAAAAACAGAAAAUUGUUCCUGGGCGUAGUCACAGAUCGAUAUGAAGAUAGAAGACAGCACCAGAAUCAAUGAACUCUGCAAAGAUCCUGGACUCCUUCUCCUGCUGCAUAACAAAGGAAGUGAAAUUCUGCUUCAUCGAUGAAUAACAGGAUUUUAUAUAAAACUUUGAAUGACAUAGGAGGGACAAUUUGCAUAGAACAACAAGUCCUCAAACUGGCCACAAGAAACUUCUGUACUUUUUCUCUCAAGGUCAUACAGCCCUGAAUCUGAUAGCAACAGAGCUUCAGCAAUAACAGCAGAUACCAUCUUAGAUUAAUGAAUCUCUUCAAAAGUGGACCAUCAAUCACUGAAC